GGUUAAGCGACUAAGCGUACACGGUGGAUGCCCUGGCAGUCAGAGGCGAUGAAGGACGUGCUAAUCUGCGAUAAGCGUCGGUGAGGUGAUAUGAACCGUUAUAACCGGCGAUUUCCGAAUGGGGAAACCCAGUGUGUUUCGACACACUAUCAUUAACUGAAUCCAUAGGUUAAUGAGGCGAACCGGGGGAACUGAAACAUCUAAGUACCCCGAGGAAAAGAAAUCAACCGAGAUUCCCCCAGUAGCGGCGAGCGAACGGGGAGGAGCCCAGAGCCUGAAUCAGUGUGUGUGUUAGUGGAAGCGUCUGGAAAGGCGCGCGAUACAGGGUGACAGCCCCGUACACAAAAAUGCACAUAUUGUGAGCUCGAUGAGUAGGGCGGGACACGUGGUAUCCUGUCUGAAUAUGGGGGGACCAUCCUCCAAGGCUAAAUACUCCUGACUGACCGAUAGUGAACCAGUACCGUGAGGGAAAGGCGAAAAGAACCCCGGCGAGGGGAGUGAAAAAGAACCUGAAACCGUGUACGUACAAGCAGUGGGAGCCUCUUUUAUGGGGUGACUGCGUACCUUUUGUAUAAUGGGUCAGCGACUUAUAUUCUGUAGCAAGGUUAACCGAAUAGGGGAGCCGAAGGGAAACCGAGUCUUAACUGGGCGUUAAGUUGCAGGGUAUAGACCCGAAACCCGGUGAUCUAGCCAUGGGCAGGUUGAAGGUUGGGUAACACUAACUGGAGGACCGAACCGACUAAUGUUGAAAAAUUAGCGGAUGACUUGUGGCUGGGGGUGAAAGGCCAAUCAAACCGGGAGAUAGCUGGUUCUCCCCGAAAGCUAUUUAGGUAGCGCCUCGUGAAUUCAUCUCCGGGGGUAGAGCACUGUUUCGGCAAGGGGGUCAUCCCGACUUACCAACCCGAUGCAAACUGCGAAUACCGGAGAAUGUUAUCACGGGAGACACACGGCGGGUGCUAACGUCCGUCGUGAAGAGGGAAACAACCCAGACCGCCAGCUAAGGUCCCAAAGUCAUGGUUAAGUGGGAAACGAUGUGGGAAGGCCCAGACAGCCAGGAUGUUGGCUUAGAAGCAGCCAUCAUUUAAAGAAAGCGUAAUAGCUCACUGGUCGAGUCGGCCUGCGCGGAAGAUGUAACGGGGCUAAA
rnacentral:rRNA from 1 species